CGUAGGGACCGAGCGUUGUCCGGAUUCAUUGGGCGUAAAGAGCUCGUAGGCGGCUGCUCAAGUCGAAUGUGAGACCUCGAGGCUUAACCUCGAGCCUGCAUUCGAUACUGGGCGGCUAGAGUCUGGUAGGGGGGAUCUGGAAUUCCUGGUGUAGCGGUGGAAUGCGCAGAUAUCAGGAGGAACACCGGUGGCGAAGGCGGGAUCCUGGGCCAGUACUGACGCUGAGGAGCGAAAGCGUGGGGAGCAAACAGGAUUAGAUACCCUGGUAGUCCACGCCGUAAACGAUGGGCGCUAGGUGUGGGAGGUCAUCGACUCCUUCCGUGCCGCAGCUAACGCAUUAAGCGCCCCGCCUGGGGAGUACGGCCGCAAAGCUA
rnacentral:rRNA from 1 species